rnacentral:rRNA from 1 species
AACCUGGUUGAUCCUGCCAGUAGUCAUAUGCUUGUCUCAAAGAUUAAGCCAUGCAUGUCUAAGUAUAAACUGCUUUAUACUGUGAAACUGCGAAUGGCUCAUUAAAUCAGUUAUAGUUUAUUUGAUGGUACCUACUUACUCGGAUACCCGUAGUAAUUCUAGAGCUA